rnacentral:rRNA from 1 species
UCGGUUCAGCGCCUGGUUAUCCGUAUGGGAAACCAGCUCGACCUUCACUGUGUCGGCUGGCGGAUCAUACACUUUACUUUGAAAAAAUUAGAGUGUUUCAGGCAGGCAAUUGCUUGGAUACUGUAGCAUGGAAUAAUGGAAUAGGACUUUGACCUAUUUGUUGGUUUCUCGAGGUCAAAGUAAUGAUUAAUAGGGACAGUUGGGGGCAUUCGUAUUUAAUUGUCAGAGGUGAAAUUCUUGGAUUUUUUAAAGACGAACUUAAGCGAAAGCAUUUGCCAAGAAUGUCUUCGUUAAUCAAGAACGAAAGUCAGGGGAUCGAAGGCGAUUAGAUACCGCCCUAGUUCUGACCGUAAACGAUACCAUCUAGCGAUCCGAUAGGGUCUAUCUAGCCUUGUCGGGGAGCUUCCCGGAAACGAAAGUCUUUCGGUUCCGGGGGUAGUAUGGUUGCAAAGCUGAAACUUAAAGAAAUUGACGGAAGGGCACCACCAGGAGUGGAGCUUGCGGCUUAAUUUGACUCAACACGGGAAAACUCACCCGGUCCGGACACCGUAAGGAUUGACAGACUGAUAGCUCUUUCUUGAUUCGGUGGUUGGUGGUGCAUGGCCGUUCUUAGUUGGUGGAGUAAUUUGUCUGGUUUAUUCCGAUAACGAGCGAGACUCUAGCCUGCUAAAUAGAACGAGGAUAAACCUUUUCAUAGGUCCUCGAUGCUUCUUAGAGGAAUUAGCGG